CCUACGGGGGGCAGCAGUGAGGAAUAUUGGUCAAUGGCCGGAAGGCUGAACCAGCCAUGCCGCGUGAAGGUCAGUGCCCUAUGGGCGUUAAACUUCUUUUGUGCGGGAGCAAUAAUGGUCACGUGUGGCCAGACGAGAGUACCGUACGAAUAAGCCUCGGCUAACUCCGUGCCAGCAGCCGCGGUAAUCCGGGGGAUGCAAGCGUUAUCCGGAUUUAUUGGGGUUAAAGGGUGGGUAGGCUGGGUGUUAAGUAAGCGGUGAAAUGCCCCCGCUCAAAGGGGUGAAGUGCCAUUGAUACUGGCUUGCUUGAAUGUGUAUGCGGUGGGAGGAAUGGGUGGUGUAGCGGUGAAAUGCAUAGAUAUCACACAGAACACCGAUUGCGAAGGCAUCUCACGAAUCCGCGAUUGACGCUGAUGCACGAAAGCGUGGGGAUCAAACAGGAUUAGAUACCCUUGUAGUC
rnacentral:rRNA from 1 species